rnacentral:rRNA from 1 species
UACGGAGGGUGCGAGCGUUGUCCGGAUUUAUUGGGCGUAAAGAGCUCGUAGGCGGCUUGUUGCGUCGACUGUGAAAACCCGCGGCUUAACUGCGGGCUUGCAGUUGAUACGGGCAGGCUAGAGUUCGGUAGGGGAGACUGGAAUUCCUGGUGUAGCGGUGAAAUGCGCAGAUAUCAGGAGGAACACCGGUGGCGAAGGCGGGUCUCUGGGCCGAUACUGACGCUGAGGAGCGAAAGCGUGGGGAGCGAACAGG